GCAAAAACCAGCCCUUUAUCCAUAGGUUUUAACUGCUUAUACAAUUUGAGUCUCAUCCAAUCCAAACACAAAACAACUUUUCACUUACUUUGCAUGAAAACAAUCAAAUUCUUUCUUCUACUUUUUCUCAGAUAUGGAUUUCAAUAUACACAUAAGCUUCCUUAAUUAUGAAUUGGAACAUGUAAAGCUCUCAACACUAUCUACUGAAAUUCAUUUCCACUUCUCCUCUUCCUCUAUAACAUGAAAAUUCACAAGUAUGUAUAAUUCAAAGUCCUCUCAAUUAUGCUGCCUUCCAAACCUCACGAAGAAGUCCAUACCUCGUAUUUGAUCCAAUCGAACCUCUUUCUUCCUUCUCUUUAUCUUUUCCAUUUUCUGUAGAAGCUGGUGAUGAUGCCAUUUUAUCAAUAAUACAUGCAAGAGGAGAAUUUAUUUCCUCCAGUUCCUCAUCGCUUGUGUAUCCCUUCCUUUGUAUAGCAGAAGCACUUCGAGAUAGGUGAGACUUCCCCUCAAUUUCUGCAACUUUUUCUGCAACGUCCACAGCAACAGGAGGUGUAUAUACAACUGGGGCCGCAGGGUAUGGGAAGCUGCUUGAAGAGUAUCCUCCUGAUAAUCGACGUGCUAUGAUGCACUCAGCAUUGAGAGCUUCUAAUACAGCACCAGGGACAGGAUCAGGACAAAACUCAUCUGGAGAGAAGUUGCAGAGUAUUCGCUUAACCAAUGGAAGACUGAUAGAUGGGCAUACCUCCAUUCUGAUCGUGCGGUCCAUGAGCAUGUCUUUGGGAAGCAUGAGAAGAUCACUUAAGGAAUUGAGAAGAUAGAAAUGUUCAAGUUGAUUUCCACCUUUUCUAUGAUCAUCUCCAGAGCCGUCUUCAUCAUUCUUCCCAGAAUCUUCAGCGUCCAUGCCGAACAAAUCAGUAAGACAUCUUGACCAAUUUCCCACAGAGUUUUUCAGUUGUGCACCGGACCCAAAACUCAACUCUCCGGCUGGAAUAGGCAACACCUUGGAGUCAACUAUUGGAUCAGAUAUGGGAUCAGUUGGGAUCUCAUGAGCUGACUCACGAAGAAUUGCAUUGAAAAUAGCAAUAUCCAGUCUGGCAACACAGUGUUCAAUCACUCUUCUAGCCAAAACAGGCAAGCAACCACAUUCAUGGAUUCCAGCUCGUACAGGACAUAGUCUCUUCAAAGCCUCCUGGAAAGCAUGCUUCCAUAGGUUAAUGGAGAAGUUCCCUUGCUGCUGGUCACCCAAAGCAGGCCCUAAUAACCUCCCAACAGAUUUGCUUGUCAUUGGAUCAUCCGUAGGAGAUUGCAUAUUGGGAGUGAAGGUCUGCCACCAUAUUGAUUCAACGAUCCGCGAGAAAAUCCAGGAUUCUACUCUCUCUAAAGCAACUGUAAAAGUUCUUGUUUCUUGCCAAUCGUCAAACAACUUCAAGAGGUCAUUCUUAUUUGACUGUUUGCUUCCUGGAUGUGUCUUCCAUUUUAAAGAGGAAACCUUUGAUUCAGUUUUAUUUCCUCUUCUAUUUGGCUCGAUAGUUGUUACCAAUGAGCUUGAGCUACAGGAACUUCCAAAUGCUUGAGAAAUGAUUACCCUCAGAACAACAGCAUUUGACAGCCAAAAUGUUAACCUUGCCACAUCGUUACCACAUGACUUGGCCACUAAUACAAGGCCGGAAACAGUGUUUUUAGCAACUGUAGCUCGUUUGUCUUGAGACCAGUAUUUACAUGCAUGAAGAUAGAGUCUAGAAAGGCGCCUGGCAGGUGUGUGCAGCUUAUGUGCAGAACUUCCAUGCUCAGAUACCACAGAGUAAAGAGCAAUUUCAAGGGCAGCAACUUCUCUCAACUCUUCCUCAAGUUUCUCAAGCCUUGAUUCCAUUUCUCCAAUCUUUUGUUCUAAAACUGCUUUAUGUUCUUGCUCACAGUUAUCCUCGGUGUUGACUGUUUCAUCAUCACUUCCAAUACUUUGAGCACUAACUGAAGUCCCAUCCAAAAUGUCUGCUUGUUCUACCUCUUUAACAAGUUUUUCAUCACCUUCUUCUGAGGAAUCUGAUAGAGAUUUGGGAUGGACUUUCAUAUUUUUAGAGUUAUCAUUGACACUCUUGGAUGUCAUUUUAGAUGGAUCCUUUUUAGGUGCUUUGGCUUUGCUUGCUGUACUUUUUGAUGCCUUACUCUGUGAAUUGUUUGCUUUCUGAUCAGAUUUAGCUCGUUGUACCUGGGAAGAAUUAUUCCCUUCAGUUUUUGCAAGCUUUCUAGAGACCUUUACAGCCAAAGCUCUUUCUACAUUUUCAUCUUCAGCUAUUAGUGGAUCUCCUUGAGAUGAAACUGAAUCAUUUAUCGUCUCAACAUCUGAUUCCUCUUCCACUCCCUCUUUGGGUUCACUCUCCAUAUCACUAGAACGAUCAUUGAUUUUAUCCUUGCCAUGUUUGUCAACCAUUUUACGUGAUUUUGGUUGCUGAGUUGCUUCCUCCGACUUGUAGACAUCAUCGACAUAAUCUAUAACCACAUUUUCAUAAACUUCAAUGGGCUCUGUGCCCGUGUUUGGGUCACUUACUAAGACACUGGACUCUGGUCUAGGAAGUGAAGCUUUAUGAUCAGUCUCUUUUGCUUUCGAUGUUUUGCCAGUACUCUUUUCCUGCUGUUUGUAUUCUUUUUUCUCCGUCUUUACCGCACGUUUUGCUUGCUUAGUGUUUAGACCCUGCUUCCGUUCAAUUUCCUUCAUGCUCAAUAUACUAAACCUAUUAAUCCAAGGUUCUAUUAACUAUUUUAAUCUGCGGAUAUUCUGCACAAUCAAUUGCAACAAUGUGAAGACA
rnacentral:misc_RNA from 1 species